AGCAGCCGCGGUAAUUCCAGCUCCAAUAGCGUAUAUUAAAGUUGUUGCAGUUAAAAAGCUCGUAGUUGAAUUUCGGGGUCAAUUUACUGGUCGUGCCUACGGUACGUACUGGUAUUGUUGAUUCCUCUCUUCUGAGGAGCCACGAUGUCAUUAAUUUGAUGUCGUGGGGAAUCAGGACUGUUACUUUGAAAAAUUAGAGUGUUUAAAGCAGGCUAACGCUUGAAUACAUUAGCAUGGAAUAAUGAAAUAGGACGUUUGACUCUAUUUUGUUGGUUUCUAGGAUCGACGUAAUGAUUAAUAGGGAUAGUUGGGGGCAUUAGUAUUCAAUUGUCAGAGGUGAAAUUCUUGGAUUUAUUGAAGACUAACUACUGCGAAAGCAUUUGCCAAGGAUGUUUUACAUU
rnacentral:rRNA from 1 species